rnacentral:rRNA from 1 species
AUCCUGGCUCAGGACGAACGCUGGCGGCGUGCUUAACACAUGCAAGUCGAACGGAAAGGCCCUUCGGGGUGCUCGAGUGGCGAACGGGUGAGUAACACGUGGGUGAUCUGCCCUGCACUUUGGGAUAAGCCUGGGAAACUGGGUCUAAUACCGGAUAGGACCACGGUCUGCAUGGAUUGUGGUGGAAAGCUUUUGCGGUGUGGGAUGGGCCCGCGGCCUAUCAGCUUGUUGGUGGGGUGAUGGCCUACCAAGGCGACGACGGGUAGCCGGCCUGAGAGGGUGACCGGCCACACUGGGACUGAGAUACGGCCCAGACUCCUACGGGAGGCAGCAGUGGGGAAUAUUGCACAAUGGGCGCAAGCCUGAUGCAGCGACGCCGCGUGAGGGAUGACGGCCUUCGGGUUGUAAACCUCUUUCAGCACAGACGAAGCGCAAGUGACGGUAUGUGCAGAAGAAGGACCGGCCAACUACGUGCCAGCAGCCGCGGUAAUACGUAGGGUCCGAGCGUUGUCCGGAAUUACUGGGCGUAAAGAGCUCGUAGGUGGUUUGUCGCGUUGUUCGUGAAAACUCACAGCUUAACUGUGGGCGUGCGGGCGAUACGGGCAGACUGGAGUACUGCAGGGGAGACUGGAAUUCCUGGUGUAGCGGUGGAAUGCGCAGAUAUCAGGAGGAACACCGGUGGCGAAGGCGGGUCUCUGGGCAGUAACUGACGCUGAGGAGCGAAAGCGUGGGGAGCGAACAGGAUUAGAUACCCUGGUAGUCCACGCCGUAAACGGUGGGUACUAGGUGUGGGUUUCCUUCCUUGGGAUCCGUGCCGUAGCUAACGCAUUAAGUACCCCGCCUGGGGAGUACGGCCGCAAGGCUAAAACUCAAAGGAAUU